UUACCAUUUUUUUUGUUUGACGAAAAAAAUUACCGUAGGCAAUGCAAUUAGUAAAAGUACUUUCCUCGUCUUUUGCGCCAAAGAAACGAUAAGGCGUGUGGGCGUGGCUCGAGGUAACCACUCUCCGCUGCAAAUCACCUAUCCAUGACUCGUUUUUCUCGAUCAUCUCUCCUCACUUCUCUUUCGUCCAUCCAAAAUCAUCUUUCUUCUCCGUACCAAAACCUCUGAAGACUCAUUUUAUGAAGAAGACUUCCUCAAAUUCAACUCUCCUUUUAUCUCCUCCUCUUCUAUCUAAUUUUUUCCCCACUAUUGGAAGCUGAAAAUCUGAUACCAGGUUCUUUUAUAUUGUUAAUUUGCUAUUUUUAUGCCUAAUUUCUUACUUCUUUUGGACCACAAUUUUUUGUGUGAUCUUGUAGAUCGCUCACUAUUUUUUCAACUGGCUACUCACAGGUUUUAUUUUCUCACCUUCAUUUUCCCUUUUCUAUGUAUAAUUUCUCCCUUUUUUGCUUGCCAUAACUUUUCUGUAUAAUUCUUUUUUUCUUUUGGGAACCACAAAAAAUCUCCCUCGGCCUCUGAGAAGAGGAAAUAAAAGGGUGUUCCAAAAAAAAACAGGCAAGUCUCCUUAACUCGCUAAACAAAAUCAUGAUCUGUUAAUAUUUUGUUUUGUUUUCUUAUCACCUAGAUGGACAUGAUUUGCAUAUCUUGAAGACUAAUGGAGCGCGAGAAGAAGGAAAGAAUAGUUCAGUUUUUGGCAAAAUGUUCACUUCAGCUUGAGAUGUUAAGAUCUGCGAAUUCUUUUCUCAAGAUGAAGGAACAAAGCAAAAAGGAGACUAAUUUUUUUCAUUUAGCCUUAAAGAUCUGAUUGAUAUUUAGAUAGCUGGAACUUGGAAGCUAAUGGAAGCUCAUGGUUUUUUUGUCAUGAAUGCUUGAUACUUUGUUUUCUCCUUUCCAAUAUCUUUAGCAAAAGUCAUUAUUUACGUCAACAACCACUUGCUAUAGUAUAGAUAUCAAACUUUGUGAAGAUUUUUUUUGAAAUUUUCACUACUAAUACAUAGUUCCACUAGAAUUGGCUGAUUGAACGCGGCACUAGAGACUAGAUAAGAAAAGACGAGAGGCAUUUCUAGAUAUAGCAGUCAAUACUUCUAGAUGAAUGUAUCUUAUAUCUUAAAUUGUAAUUUUUCACAGGUAAUGAGAUGCAUUGUACCGUUGGGGAGCUUACCUCAAUUAUGUGUUA